rnacentral:rRNA from 1 species
CCUACGGGUGGCUGCAGUGGGGAAUAAUGGACAAUGGGGGGAACCCUGAUCCAGCCAUGCCGCGUGUGUGAAGAAGGCCCUCGGGUUGUAAAGCACUUUCAGUGAGGAAGAACGCCUGGUGGUUAAUACCCAUCAGGAAAGACAUCACUCACAGAAGAAGCACCGGCUAACUCCGUGCCAGCAGCCGCGGUAAUACGGAGGGUGCGAGCGUUAAUCGGAAUUACUGGGCGUAAAGCGCGCGUAGGUGGCUUGAUAAGCCGGUUGUGAAAGCCCCGGGCUCAACCUGGGAACGGCAGCCGGAACUGUCAAGCUAGAGUGCAGGAGAGGAAGGUAGAAUUCCCCGUGUAGCGGUGAAAUGCGUAGAGAUCGGGAGGAAUACCAGUGGCGAAGGCGGCCUUCUGGACUGACACUGACACUGAGGUGCGAAAGCGUGGGUAGCAAACAGGAUUAGAUACCCUUGUAGUC